rnacentral:other from 1 species
GCGAAGCUGCCCGGUGCGUUUGGCUAACGAAAUCCCGGGGCCGUUACCGAAACUCCAGGGAGUUGUCCCUGCCGGAGCCUUGGCUUCGGCACACGACGCCCACCUCGAUGGCGAGGGUCCCGGAGGAUUGGCUUGAGACCGACGGCCAGGGCGGCUUCGCU